AACUGUAGAAUCAUAAAAUAAAUAAAGUUUAGUUGUUUUAACCACAAAGUUUAGAGGUGGCUUGUUAUGCAGUAAAAGCUAACCGAUACAUCCCAGGAAAAUAGAAAUCCACAAAAUCAUGAAAAAUAAUAGUUUAAUACUCCCUCACCCCACCAAAAAAAAAAAGAAAAGAAAAGAAAAGAAAAACUUUCUGAGUUUUUGCAGAGCCAUGGGUGUUAAUGACAGGACUGCAUCUGGAAUGUCCUGCAUAUUCUCCUGCCUGUCAAGAACAAUGGCCAGAGGUGGAGAAGGAUGCUCUCCACAGGUGACAUCAUCCAGGGGAAUAAGGCUACUGUCCCUCCCUUCCACUUGGCUCACCCUGAGGCGACCUCCUCAUCUACCGCAGGACAGAAAUGCUGCUCUAAUUGUUGAAAACGACUUCCACAAGACUUCCCUGGUACCAGAUACAUGAUGACAUAUAAUGAAACCAGUUUUUUUCAUCAACGUUAUAACAAAAGGAUGUUUACUUAAGGAACUGCUGUACAUUGUUUUGCUUAAAAUCACAGUUUUUAAGAAUCUAGUUGAUGAUGGUAAAUGAGGACUGCAUUUCUGUUUUUUUUUUUUUUUUUUUUUGACGUGGAGUCUUGCUCUGUCACCCAGGGUGGACUGCAGCGGCACAAUCUUGGCUCACGGCAACCUCCGCCUCCUGGGUUCAAGCAAUUAUCCUGCCUCAGCCUCCUGAGUAGCUGGGAUUACAGGCACCUGCCACUAUGCCUGGCUAUUUUUAGUAGAGACAGGGUUUCACCAUGUUGGCCAGGCUGAUCUCGAACUCCUGACCUCAAGUGGAUUUCUGGUCUGUAGUUUGAGAAGCCAUGUUUGGAGAGAGUUUUUAGUGCAGUCACUUUGUCCAGCAGAGUAGGAACACAGGCUUUCUGGAACGUUUAUCCUCUUUAUGUGAAUCUGGGCAGAAAUCUGUUUUUUUUUUUUUUUAAAGUAAAAUGUGGGAGCCGGUAGAGGGAUGGCAGGGGAGGCGGAUAGAGGCUGAGGAAUAAACAGGUUCCUAGCUUCAAUGCCUCCAACCAGAUGGAGCCACCCUGCAUGGGGCUGAGUUCAUUUCUAUAAACCUGUUUCUCCUACUUGCUGGGCAGAGCCGAGCAGUUGCUAUGUUGAAUGGAAGAGGGGCUGUGCCUGGGCUCAGGGUCUGUCCAGCUUGUUUUCAACUCUAAUUCUUCAACAGAGCCUCCCCAGGGCUGUACUCCUGCUCUGGGGCUUGGAACUGAGGGGAUGUCAUGAGGUAGGC
rnacentral:lncRNA from 1 species